rnacentral:rRNA from 1 species
UUAGGAAUCUUCCACAAUGGGCGAAAGCCUGAUGGAGCGACGCCGCGUGAGGGAUGAAGGCCUUAGGGUUGUAAACCUCUAAAAGAGGGACGAUAAUGACGGUACCUCUUGAAUAGCACCGGCUAACUCCGUGCCAGCAGCCGCGGUAAUACGGAGGGUGCAAGCGUUAUCCGGAUUUACUGGGCGUAAAGGGCGCGUAGGCGGCGCGGUAAGUCACUUGUGAAAUCUCUGAGCUUAACUCAGAACGGCCAAGUGAUACUGCUGUGCUAGAGUGCGGAAGAGGCAACCGGAAUUCUUGGUGUAGCGGUGAAAUGCGUAGAUAUCAAGAGGAACACCUGAGGCGAAGGCGGGUUGCUGGGCCGACACUGACGCUGAUGCGCGAAAGCCAGGGGAGCAAACG